rnacentral:rRNA from 1 species
AUUGAACGCUGGCGGCAUGCCUUACACAUGCAAGUCGAACGGUAACAGGUCUUCGGAUGCUGACGAGUGGCGGGCGGGUGAGUAAUACAUCGGAACGUGCCCGAGAGUGGGGGAUAACGAGGCGAAAGCUUUGCUAAUACCGCAUACGAUCUCAGGAUGAAAGCAGGGGACCGCGAGGCCUUGCGCUCACGGAGCGGCCGAUGGCAGGUUAGGUAGUUGGUGGGAUAAAAGCUUACCAAGCCGACGAUCUGUAGCUGGUCUGAGAGGACGACCGGCCACACUGGGACUGGGACACGGCCCAGGCUCCUACGGGAGGCAGCAUGGGGGAAUUUUGGACAAUGGGCGCAAGCCUGAUCCAGCCAUGCCGCGUGCAGGAUGAAGGCCUUCGGGUUGUAAACUGCUUUUGUACGGAACGAAAAGACUCUGGUUAAUACCUGGGGCUCAUGACGGUACCGUAAGAAUAAGCACCGGCUAACUACGUGCCAGCAGCCGCCGUAAGAC